UUGGUCCUCAUAAAUGAUUCUGACUUUUCCUCUGCCCAAGACCACUGAAACGUAAAAGCAUAUCUUCUCAAAUCUUUUCCUUGUCAAUUUGCUUUUCAGAACAGUGCUAUUUCCUACCAUUUCAAGCAUCGCCCCAUAUUACUGAAAGCUGAGGUCUUCCCAUUUUCUUUUACUCUGAAGAACCCAGAUGAUUUGGCUCUGAUUCUCUUCUAGAUGAUCUUAAGGUCUCUCCCUCCAGGUACUGUUCCUCUCCCUUCUUAAGUGUUUCUUUUGCUAGACGAUGGGCUUCUGUGUUUUCUAACCUCGGGAUAAAAUAGAAUCUGAUUUCUUGAUACUGAUCCUUUAAGCUUUGAAUAUCACUGAUUAUUGCCCCUAUUUCUGAUAUGUCUCGACUUGUAUUUUGGCAUUUUGUAAUCACUGUUCUUGAGUCUCCGGUUAUAUCUAAAGUAUGAUAGCCCAACUGAAUCCCUAACCUUAUUGCUUGUAAACCUGCAAAUGCUUCUGCCGCGAAUGGAGAUGCAAUAUUUUCAUGAAGGGUCGACUUUACUGCAACGAUCCUACCUUCCUCAUUUCUAACAACUAGGCCUGACGCAGAUCUGGAAUUCUGUAAGUCGAAAGCCACAUAAAAAAAAAAGAUGGCCUUUUUCGCCCUUUGUAAACUUUGUCUAUGCCUCACACUAGUUUCCACGUUGAGUUCCUUAUCUCUACUCCCUUCCAGUUCCAGAAUAUAGCUUUUUAUUUGUUUGGAGAUAUCUCUGCUAGUGCUUGAUCUGUUUUCAUAUAAUAAUUUAUUUCUGUUUGUCCAGAUUAACCAGAGCCCGCAACAGAAAUCCCUGCACUGUUCGUUUGUCCCUUGGCUGAAAACCCAAGUAAGCCAACUCCAGAUAUCCAAAUGACUAUUGUUGAGUAUCCAUGAAAAAUUUAAGUGACUCCAUAUUUCCUUUGCUGUAGGGCACAGAUGGAAAACAUGGAAACUAUCUUCUCCUUCCUGACCGCAUCUCGAACAUCGAUCCUCAGCCAUCACUUUUCGCAGCUCUAGAUUGGAGAAAAUGGGAAUGUAAUUCCACGCUAUUUUUCAUACUGUAAUCUUGAUUUUUAAGGGCAUAUGUAAAUUCCAUAGUUUUCUGUAGAAAUUUUUAGUAUCGGUCUGUAAAUAAACACUAGGAUCAAUUGUAGCUUUCUGUAAUAGUAUAUAGGCACUCCUUACUGAAAAGUCACCAGUUGCCUCCCCUCUCCAUACUUGGAUGUCUUUAUGGAUUAACUUUGAAAGCGGAAUCUGUAGUAUUUUCCUAGUGAUAUCCGAGUUAAAGGUACGGACAAUCAAGUGUCUAUUCCAUGUUCUGCUUUCCUCAUUGAUUAAGUCAAACACUACUCUAAUAUUUUUAAUGUUGCUGUUAUUCUGUAUUCUGUCUACAGUCAUUCUCGGCACCCAUAGAUCAUUCCAUACUGAAAUGUGGUCUCAUUUACCAACUCUUUAGCAUAAUCCAUCUGUGAGGAGUUUUUUUGUUGACCAAAUACUCCUCCAGGUAAGUGAAGGUAAGUUACUCAAAAAAGCAUUUAAGAAGUUUGUUGUUGAAAAAUAUUUCACUUUUAAAACUUGGGCUAAUAAAGAACUCGGAUAAUUAAAAAGACGCCAACCCUGUUUUGCCAGCAAAGCUAUGUUAAAUUUAUCAAGACUUCUAAAACCUAACCCACCCAAUUCUUUUUCAAUGCAAAUAUCCUCCCAAGCACACUAAUGGAUCUCUCUUUUUUCCCCUUAUUUUUCUGCCACCAAAAUUUUGCAAUAAUACCAUCUAAUUCCUUGAAAAAAGAUUUAGGGAGUAAAAAACACGUCAUUGAGUAGGUUGGUAUAGAUUGUAAAACAGCUUUGAUGAAAACCUCUUUACCUCCUUGUGAGAGAUAUCUGAUACUCCAAUUGUCAAUUCGUUGCUUGAAUCUAUCCUUCAGCAUCUGGAACGCUGCCUUAUUCCUUCUACCCACCAGGCUAGGUAGCCCUAAAUAUCUUUCCAUAUCAUCUGAACUUCGUACCCCAAUAACUCGAAUAAUUGUUCUUCUUUCUCCUUCCUAAGUAUUGCUGCUGAAAAAAAUUGUGGAUUUUGAAAAGUUAACUUUCUGACCCGAGCAAAUUUCAUAUUCACGGAUGACCUGUUUUAAAAAAAAUUAAACCCCUCUCAGUAGCUUCCCCAAACAGUAUGCAAUCAUUCGCAAAAAGUAAAUGUGAAACAUGCGGCCCGCUUCUGCUUGUUUUGACACCUCUUAUUUUGUUCUCCUGCAUACCUAAUUUCAUAAGGCUAGAGAGACCUUCUCCAUAGAACAAGAAUAAGAACAGACUCAACGGGUCCUCUUGUCGUAAUCCUCUUGAAGGAUAAAAGAAGUCUCCAUUAUGUCCAUUAAGGACCACUGAAUAUGAAACUCUAUUAACGCAUCUUAAUAGUUGGGUCACCAACUCUGAAUCAAAACCCAUUUUCUUUAUUAUUUCCUCCACAAAAUUUCAUUCCACCCUAUCAUAUGCCUUGCUCAUAUCCAACUUGACCGCCAUAAAACCCUUCUUCCCUGACCGCUUCUGUUUCAAUGUAUGGAUUAAUUCAUAAGCCAGCAACACGUUAUCUGAGAUCAAUCUCCCAGGCACGAAAGUGCUUUGUGCAGGAUCAAUGCAUUUGUCUAACACUUUCCGAAUGCGAUUAGCAAAAACUUUAGCCAUUAAUUUGAAGAUUACAUUACACAAACUAAUAGGCCUAAAGUGCGAUAUAUCUAUUGGAUUUGAAAUUUUCAGAAUUAAAACAAUAUUUGUUCUAUUGACUGGGCCUAUCUCCAUCUUUCCAUUCAGUUGAUCAAGACAAUAAGAAGUGACCUCCUCUCUGAUAAUUGCCCAACACUUCUGAUAGAAUAACGUUGGAAAUCCAUAUUCCCCUGGUGCCUUAGUGGGCCCUAAUUCUGCCAAAGCCUGCUGAAUUUCCUCCUUUGUAUAUCUCUCUUUUAACAUUAAAUUAUCUUCAUUUGAAAUACAUCGAUGAACUCCAGAUAAAACAUGCUCAUAAUUUGCAGAUAUGCCAGUGAAAAAUAACUGUUUGAAAUAUGAUCUAGCAAUCAUUUUCAUUUCUUUUCAUUCUUCCGUCUCCCUCCCAUCAUCGUUCUUCAUUUUGUGAAUCAGGUUCCUCUGUCGUUUCUGUGUAGCUUGUUUGUGGAAAAAGGCUGUAUUUUUAUCCCCAAAUUUUAACCAGUUAACCCUCGCUAUUUGUUCCCAAAAGCACUCAUCCUUUUCGAUCUCGAAGUUAAGUUGGAUCUUUGUAUCAAUCUGGUCGGCUAGAUUUUCUUCAUUUCUUUCUGCUUCUAGUAGUGAAGCCAAUUUUGAUGAUAACAACUUCUUCCUUUCUUUUCUAGAAAAUCGAAUUUGACUAGCCCAUCGCUCCAGCCCCCUUUUCAUACUGUCCAACUUGCUUAAAAACUCUCCUUCAGAAUGUCCCAUAUGUCUUUAACCGUAUUUUAAGAACGAGUCCUCCAGUACCCACCAUGCUUCAAAUUUGAAACAUUUUUGUAUUCUCUCUCUGCACCCCUUCUUUGUGUUAACCAGUAAUGGGCAAUGGUCAGAAAACGUAUAUGGAAGAUGUUGAAGCUAAAAAUCAGGAAAUAAAUGCAGCCAAUCUUCUGUCGCCACUCCUGUAUCUAACCGCUCUUGAAUAUUAUUUUCAGGUAAGUUCCCCCUUUCCCACGUAAACCAGUUUCCAAUAAACCCCAUAUCAGAUAAAUUAAAUUCCUCUAAAGUCUUACAAAAACCUUCCAUUCGUCCUUCCUCUCGCACUAAACCGCUUUUUUUUUCAAAACUAUACAGAAUUUCAUUAAAAUCUCCACAAAUCAUCCAUGGUAACUCCCUACCCAUACCUAACUGCCGUAAUAGGUUUCAUGUCUUAGCUCUAUCAUGUGAAUAUGGAGACCCAUAAAAACCUGUAAACCUCCGUUUGUAUCCUUCAUCCUCUUCAUCAAUGAUCACAUCAAUAUGCUGUUUUGAAAAACUCUGAAGCUGAAUAUUUUUAUACUCGCACCAAGCCAAACACAGCCCACCUCUAGAACCAUCUGAACUCACAUCAAUACCGUUUAAAAACCUACAACUCCUUCGAACUCUUUCCAUUUGAUUAUUACUUAUUUUUGUCUCCAUGAAGAAGACUACUUGGGGAUUAUAUAAGUUCAGUAUAUACCGAAAUCUCCGAAUUGUCCGUGGACUCCCCAAUCCACGGAUAUUCCAGCUUAGGAUUUUUAUUGCACUCGGUCGGCUUGCCACUUGGCAGCCACCGAUGAUUGAUGACUAACCUCUAUUGUUCUCCUACUCUUUGCCGCCAAAAUAUUUGUCUCCUCUUUGGUCAGAGCUGCUUCCAUCUCCCUUCUGUUUCUCUUCUUGCCCUCCUCACCAAUAAACACUUCAUCUUCAAGAUCAUGUUCCAUUGAGUUAUUCAUCAGAAUCCCACUCCAAUUCUCAUUUACUUCCCAUGUUUGAGAUCUACUUCCUACAAGGUUUAUCCUUAAUAUUGGUGUAACAGCCCAAUUUCGACUCUAAUCGAACAUAGUGGUUUCAGGACCACAACUCCAAGACCAAAAAAAAAUAUUUUAAUAUUAUUUUGUCUGUUUAUUUUGUGUGCAUUUGAUUGUGUGAAAUUUUCGUGUUUUAAUUUUGUUGUUUGAGUGUCCGAUUAAAUAAAAGGAUUAAAUCACGUAAAAUAAAAAUUUAAUGGUUAAAUAUGAAAGUGUCUAUUUGUUGUUGUCUUUAUAAUUUGGAGGAUUUAAGAAGCAAUUAGCCCACCAUUAGGUGAGUGGAUGGCAAUGGUCAAGAAUGACCUUAUAAUAUGUGUUAUACAUUAUAUUUUAACAAAGGUUAAUUAAGUAAAUUAAUUAUUAUGGUUAAUAUAUGUUAAAUAUAACAAAUUUAAAACAUGUUCUUCAUCUUUUUCUACCGAAACCAAGAGAGAAAAUAAGGGUUCAAAGCUUUGGAAAAUUCGGCACUUACAAAGCUUGAUUAAGGUAUGAAUAUUGUUCGGUUUUUGAUAAUUUUUAUGUUUUUGAGAUCGUUGCUUCGGGUACUAUUCGACCCAUGCUUGAAUUUUUGAUUUUGAUGAAUAUUUUGAGCUAUGCCAUUUAUGAAUAAUUGUGUUUUGUGAUGUUUGAUAAUGAAUAAUGAAAGAUAUGUUUUAGAUUAAUAUGUUUUGUAUUGGAAUUUUUGGUGAAAUUGAGUAAAUAGGGUGAAAUUGCAAAAAUAAUAUUUUUAGAGACUAAAAUGUGAAAUAAAUGAAAUGAGUGGACUUGUAUGAAGACAAGGAACAUUCGGCCCUAGCUUAGUGUGGGCAAAUUUUGUGUAUUUUGUGUUUUGUGCAAAAAGGACUAAAUUGCAAAAAGUGUAAAAUGUUAGGGGCAAAAUAGUAAUUUUCCCAUUUAUGUAUUUUUGGACUUAAUUGAAUAUUUUGAUGAAUAAAAAGGUUAAAUUUGAUUAUGUUUAGAUCAAUAAACAAAGAGAGCGGAUUUGGAUCGGGGAAAAACGAAAGUAAUCGAAUAGUCGAUCGUGUCCUUUGAUAUCCGAGGUAAGUCUAUUAGCAAUUUGAUGUUAUUAAAUCAGCAUAUAUGUAUGUAUAUCUAUUGUAUUUUGAUGAGUUGAAAUCGAAAGUAUAUAGAUUGAAUUUGGUUAAAGUAUGAAUGAUAUUUAUAUAUAUAUGUAUACAUAAGGUCCGAAUAUAUAUAAGUAUAUACAUGUAUAAACCCUUAGACUUGGUUAAAGGCAUGAAUGUUAUAUAUAUGUAUAUGUGAGUUGGAACAUAUAAGUAUAUACCUGAAUAAGUCUUGAAUAUAUUUAAAGGUAUGAAAGUUAUGUAUGUAUAUGUAAUUUCGAAUAUGUAUAUGUAUAUAUAUAUGCAUAUCUAUUGUUUAUUUGGUGAGCUAUAAUUAAAAGUAUAUGGAUCGAAAUUAGUUAAUGUAUGAAUGUUAUAUAUAUAUGCAUAAAUGAAGUUCGAACAUGUAUAUAUAUGUAUAUGAUCUUAAAUUUAGUUAAAGGUAAGACUGUUAUAUAUAUAUAAGAUUCGAAAAUGUAUAUAUUUAUGUAUAAGAUUUUGAAUUUAAUUAAAGGUAUGGACGAUAUAUUUAUAUAUAUAAGGUUCAAAUAUAUAUAUGUAUAUAUAUAGGUAUAAGUUUUUGAAUAGAAUUAAAAGUAUGAAUUCUAUAUAUAUAUACGUAGGUGUGAGGUUUGAAUAUAUAGUUAUGUGUAUAUAUAUGUAUUUGAAUUGAAUGUAAAGUAUGGACUUUACAUAUGCAUGUGUGUGGUUCGAAUAAAUAUAUAUACAUAUACAAAUACUUGAGUUGGAUUAAAAGUAUAAUUUGUAAAUGCUUAUAUGAUUCAAACAGGGAUUACAAAUUUCUUUUUGAGAUAAAGUUGAGGUUGUGAAUUAUACAUAAAUGUUAUGAACAUGUGUUGCUAUUAAGAAAUAUACGAGGAAAUCAUCUUUGUAUCUGUGAAAUUGAAAUUUUCAGGUUAAGCGCCUAGAAGGCUUAAUGCCGGUGAAUUUUUCAAAUUAUAAGUCUAGCAGGCUAAGUGCCGGUGAUUGAAAUCAGGUUAUAAACCUAGCAGGCUACGUGCCGGUGAUAUGAAUCAGGCUAUAAGCCUAGCAGGCUAAGUGCCGGUGAAUAUGUUAAAUUAUGUGAUUAUAUGCAUUAGAUAGAUUUAUAAAUAUAACUAAUUUUGGGUUAUAUAUAUAAUGAAUAAGUAUAUGAAUAUUUAUUUAUAUGUGUUCGAUGAGCUUAUAAAUGUUUCAACCUAUGAGUUUAGUGAAUAGGCAUAUAUAUAUUGGUUGAUAUGAAAAUUGUUGAAUAUACUUGUACGAAAUCGACACAUGUGGCUUAGAAGUAUAAAUGUGCAUAUGAUUCAUGUAGUUUAUAAGUGGAAAUAUAAGUUUUUGACAUAUGUUUUUGAAAGAUCAUAAACAAGCAUUCAAUGAAAUGCAAAUGAUAAGUAUAUUUGGAAUAUAUAUAUGCAAUUAAUGAUUAUGUAUGUAACUUGAUUUUUAGGUAUAUAAUGAUUAUACAUGUGAUCGUUUAUAUGUAUUUUGGUUAUGCUAUAAACUUACUAAGCUAUAAAAGCUUACUUUGAAUGUUUUUGUUCAUUUGUUUUAUAGAUUUUGGAGACGCGUUACGAGCUCGGGGAUCAUCAGCAUAGUCUAUCACACUAUCGACUUCUUUUGGUAUUUUAUUAACAGUUUGAACUCGAUCUUAUGGCAUGUAUAGGUUUGAGUAUGAUUUUGGUUAGAUUUGGAUUGUAUAUAUAUAUAAAUAGCCAUGCGAAGAUGGUUUAAUUUCCAUGUUUGUGAUCAGUUUGGUUUUUUUAAAAAAAUGGUUGUGUUUGUUCGGUAAUGCCUCGUAACCCUAAUUCGGCGACGGAUACGGGUUUGUCAUCAUUAUUAUCCAUAUUUUCAUUAUUAUCCCUAUUUUCCGCUAGAUCUCUUGAGUUAUUCCUUAUAAAUUGUCUUUUCCCAUUGUUCCCACGCCCCUGUUCCUCUCCUUCUUCUCGCAACCAUACGCUUGUCAUCAU
rnacentral:lncRNA from 1 species